rnacentral:rRNA from 1 species
GACGAACGCUGGCGGCGUGCUUAACACAUGCAAGUCGAACGGAAAGACCCUGCUUUUGUUGGUUUCUCGAUUGGCGAACGGGUGAGUAACACGUGUGUAACCUGCCCUUGACUUUGGGAUAUCUUCUCGAGACUCGGGCUCAUAUCGGAUAUGAUCUCCUGCUGCAUGUUGUGGGUUGGAAAGUUUCGGCGGUUGUGGCUGGACUCGCUGCUUAUGAGCUUGUUGGUGGGGUAGUUGCUUACCAAGGCUUUGACGGGUAGGCGGCCUGAGAGGGUGACCGGCGACAUGGGGACUAAGAGACGGCGCAGACGGCUAUGGGAGGCAGCAGGGGGGAAUAUUGCACAAUGAGCGGAAGUCUGAGACAGCAGCGCCGCGUGCGGGAUGACGGCCUACGGGUUGUAAACCGAUUUCGAAGGUGACGAAGAGUGAGUGACGGUAAUGGGUAAAGAAGCACCGGCUAACUACGUG